GGCUCAGGAUGAACGCUAGCUACAGGCUUAACACAUGCAAGUCGAGGGGCAGCAUGAACUUAGCUUGCUAAGUUUGAUGGCGACCGGCGCACGGGUGAGUAACGCGUAUCCAACCUACCCUUCAGUAGGGGACAGCCCGGCGAAAGUCGGAUUAAUACCCUAUGUUAUCCGUUGAGGACAUCUGACGUGGAUGAAAGAUUUAUCGCUGAGGGAUGGGGAUGCGUCUGAUUAGGUGGAUGGCGGGGUAACGGCCCACCAUGCCUUCGAUCAGUAGGGGUUCUGAGAGGAAGGUCCCCCACAUUGGAACUGAGACACGGUCCAAACUCCUACGGGAGGCAGCAGUGAGGAAUAUUGGUCAAUGGGCGUGAGCCUGAACCAGCCAAGUAGCGUGAGGGAUGACGGCCCUACGGGUUGUAAACCUCUUUUGCGGGGAAUAACAGGCUUCACGUGUUGGAGUUUUGCAUGUACCCCGAGAAUAAGGACCGGCUAAUUCCGUGCC
rnacentral:rRNA from 1 species